rnacentral:rRNA from 1 species
AGUGAACGCUGGCGGUAGGCCUAACACAUGCAAGUCGAACGGCAGCACAGGAGAGCUUGCUCUCUGGGUGGCGAGUGGCGGACGGGUGAGGAAUACAUCGGAAUCUACUCUGUCGUGGGGGAUAACGUAGGGAAACUUACGCUAAUACCGCAUACGACCUACGGGUGAAAGCAGGGGAUCUUCUGACCUUGCGCGAUUGAAUGAGCCGAUGUCGGAUUAGCUAGUUGGCGGGGUAAAGGCCCACCAAGGCGACGAUCCGUAGCUGGUCUGAGAGGAUGAUCAGCCAAACUGGAACUGAGAUACGGUCCAGACUCCUACGGGAGGCAGCAGUGGGGAAUAUUGGACAAUGGGCGCAAGCCUGAUCCAGCCAUACCGCGUGGGUGAAGAAGGCCUUCGGGUUGUAAAGCCCUUUUGUUGGGAAAGAAAUCCAGCUGGCUAAUACCCGGUUGGGAUGACGGUACCCAAAGAAUAAGCACCGGCUAACUUCGUGCCAGCCGCCGCCGUAA